AAAAAAGAAAGGGAAACAGAAGAGGAAAGGGGAAGACGGAGGAGAAGAGAGGGAGGAGGAAGGAGCGACGCGGCCGAGACCUUACCGCCGCCGUUGUUGUGCUGCACGUGAGAGUGAGAGAGAGACACACACAGAAUGAGCGUCGCGAGAAUCAACGGAGGGAGGCACGGUUCGGUCCUGUUGCCGUAGCGGGUUGCGCCUGAUCACCAUCGCAGAAGCUCCAU
rnacentral:lncRNA from 1 species